AUUGAACGCUGGCGGAAUGCUUUACACAUGCAAGUCGAACGGCAGCACGGACUUCGGUCUGGUGGCGAGUGGCGAACGGGUGAGUAAUGUAUCGGAACGUGCCCAGUCGUGGGGGAUAACGUAGUGAAAAUUACGCUAAUACCGCAUACGAUCUAUGGAUGAAGGCGGGGGAUCGCAAGACCUCGCGCGAUUGGAGCGGCCGAUAUCAGAUUAGGUAGGUGGUGGGGUAAAGGCACACCAAGCCAACGAUCUGUAGCUGGUCUGAGAGGACGACCAGCCAAACUGGAACUGAGGCACGGUACAGACUCCUACGGGAGGCGGCAGUGGGGAAUUUUGGACAAUGGGCGAAAGCCUGAUCCAGCCAUUCCGCGUGCAGGAUGAAGGCCCUCGGGUUGUAAACUGAUUUUGUACAGAACGAAAAGGUUUCUACUAAUACUAGGAGCUCAUGACGGUACUGUAAGAAUAAGCACCGGCUAACUACGUGCCAGCAGCCGCAGUAA
rnacentral:rRNA from 1 species